GAAAGCCGUAUUCGAUGAAAGUCGUAUGUACGGCUUGGAGGGAUCUUCAUAUCUUUCGAGAUCCACCCUAC
rnacentral:ncRNA from 1 species